CAGUCGCCACGGGAAUACAGAGGGUGCAAGCGUUAAUCGGAAUUACUGGGCGUAAAGGGCGCGUAGGCGGCAUGUACAGUCAGAAGUGAAAUUCCUGGGCUCAACCUGGGGACUGCUUUUGAUACGUGCAGGCUAGAGUGAGGAAGAGGGUUGUGGAAUUUCCAGUGUAGAGGUGAAAUUCGUAGAUAUUGGAAAGAACACCGGUGGCGAAGGCGGCGACCUGGUCUUUUACUGACGCUGAGGCGCGAAAGCGUGGGGAGCAAACAGGAUUAGAUACCCCUGUAGUCCCUGUCUCUUAUAC
rnacentral:rRNA from 1 species